rnacentral:rRNA from 1 species
UACGAAGGAUCCGAGCGUUAUCCGGAUUUAUUGGAUUUAAAGGGUGCGUAGGUGGAUUGGUAAGUCAGUGGUGAAAGUUUGCAGCUUAACUGUAAAACUGCCGUUGAAACUGCCGGUCUUGAGUGCAAAUGAGGUAGGCGGAAUGCGUCGUGUAGCGGUGAAAUGCUUAGAUAUGACGCAGAACUCCGAUUGCGAAGGCAGCUUACUGGGAUGCAACUGACGCUGAGGCACGAAAGCGUGGGUAUCAAACAGGAUUAGA